UCUUGCUGCAGCAACGCGAGUGGGAGCACCAGGAUCCCGGGCUCGGAACCCAACUACACGGAUUGUUUUACGAAAAUGGCAGACAAACCAGACAUGGGGGAAAUCGCCAGCUUCGAUAAGGCCAAGCUGAAGAAAACGGAGACGCAGGAGAACACCCUGCCAACCAAAGAGACCAUUGAGCAGGAGAAGCGGAGUGAAAUUUCCUAAAAUCCUAGAGGAUUUCCUACCCCUGUCAUCUUCGAGACCCCAGUCGUGAUGUGGAGGAAGAGCUACCUGCAAGAUGGACACGAGCCACAAGCUGCACUGUGAACCUGGGCACUCCACGCCGAUGCCACCAGCCUGUGGGUCUCUGAAGGGACCCCCCCAAUCGGACUGCCAAAUUCUCUGGUUUGCCCUGGAAUAUUAUAGAAAAUUAUUUGUAUGAAUAAUGAAAAUAAAACACACUUCGUGGCAUGGCAAAAAAAAAAAAAAA